UUUUUAUACUGCAAAUCUAGUCAUUGACAUGUGCAUGUGAUUACGCUCAGCUAGCCUACUUUCCUAUCUAUAGAUUAUGAGCUUACUCAAAGAAGUACUUAGGAUUAUCAACUGUGUAAUCGAGGAAGCCAACAUUGACCGACUUUCAUGCGUGAGGGAGGUAAAUCGCAGGUUAUGCCUUCAAGAGUACAGGGUGGAAGACUGCUUGUACACUUGCACUUACCCAAGAGCCAAAUCCAUAUUUCAGGAUUCGAAUCCUUGACGCAGUAGCCUCAAGCAAAACUGGAUUUCUCCACUCUCCCCUUUUACCACUUGGAGAUGUGCCCUGGGGGCAAUUAUGACAAUGUAUAACAUAAGGAAGUAGAGUUGUGUAUAACUAUAAACUUAUUUUUUUCCUGGGUAGAAAGAAUAGCAUGCUCAAGUGAUUUGUACAGUUGUUAUAGGAAUUCAACUAUGAAAAAAAUAUGAAGACAAAUUUGCCACU